rnacentral:tRNA from 1 species
GCACCCAUAGUUCAAUGGAUAGAAUAUUGGAUUCCGGUUCCAACGAUUGGGGUUCGACUCCCCAUGGGUGUA